GUAAAACGCGCUACCGAUUAUCUUAAAUAAAACUUCCCUUUUUAAAAAGAGAUUAAGUAUAUUUAUCGUACCCGGGGUACAUGUAAGUAUACUUAAGAGUACCCGGGGUACAUGUAAGUAGUACCCGAGCCGACAAUGACCAAUCGAGCCUGUCCGUGCAUUUGGAUAAGGACAGGAACACUACAUAGGCUCCGAUACACCAUGGCCAACCGCUGAAGGUCACCUAUACCAGACUGAAGUAUAGACCGUCAUCUCUGCCAUUGCUGUUAAUACAAAGAUAAGUGAUAUCAUUUUUAAAGGUCAAAUAUGACGUUAAACAGGUGUGCUUAAAGAGAUAAUUGUGAUGUGCGCUUGUUGUUGACUUCCUUUGGUAAGCAUUACUGCUGUUGGUAUGCAGACAGACAACACUGUCCAUUCGACUCGAUUUAUAGAGCUAGGACGUUUUAACAUUGUUGGCGCUCAAACUCGGGCAAGGCUCCUCAGUUUACAUCGAGGGACACACUUUUUUGCCCGCAAGCGUAAACACACUGACGUGGGUCGAUGGUGCGAAAGCGAGUUCGAGUCAGCGUAAACAGUGUUAAAACGCCUUAGCUCUGAAAAUCAAGUCUAAUCGAUGGCAUGUUCGCUCUGUUUUCCAACAGGAAUACUGUUUACCAAAGGCAGUAAGCAAGGUCUUGCAUCAUCUUAUCUUUUUUUUCAGUGCUGCAUUAUAACGUAAACUCUGACCUUUUGUUGAAAAUGGACGUAUUCUAAUUUACCUAUAUACGCUUAUACGUGUUUGUGUUACAUGUGUAUUUAUAUGCAACUAAUUUGGGAAAAAAUAUAGCACAUGUUCAUUUGGAAAAAUUUACAAUUUAAUCAAUAUAUUUGGACAAAAAAUAUUGGCGACGUAUUCUUUGUCUGUAUCCAAUAUACGUCGUGUUGGUAUCUCUAACAUAUGUUUGUUUAACAGCUGUCCGUGCAUUGUGAUAAGGGUAGGAACUCUACAUGGGCUUCGAUACACCAUGGCCAACCGCUGAAGGUCACCUAUACCAGACUGAAUUUCCACGGCAACAAGGCCUGUCACCAAUGCACUUGCACUUGACUCCUUGCGCAGGAAGUGAUGUAAUAUUGCGGCCAUCACAGAAUAAGUCUGUGAGAGCCUGUGCCAGCAUUCUCCAGUCGUUGCCACGUGCGCACGGCGUGUCAAGAAGCGCGCAGACCUGUUGGCGUAUAUGAGAGGGCAGUCGGGAGGGCUGAGAGCUGUCCACUGCAACCACGGAACUCACACCGGAACUCGAGUUAGUCGCCGAGGUAACGGUUGAGGCUCGACCCUUCAACGUGUUACCUAGGGGACUCGAGCAUAUUGGGGGCUGAAAAGCGUAUCGCCUCCUGCACACACUCCACCAUCUCCAGGCUAAACGAGCAGUGCAGGUUGUUCUGGUUCCCGCUCCAGAUGUGCCGGAAUGGAAUCUCCUGGGAACCAGCAAAACAGG